GGUUUGUCGCGUUGUUCGUGAAAUCUCACGGCUUAACUGUGAGCGUGCGGGCGAUACGGGCAGACUUGAGUACUGCAGGGGAGACUGGAAUUCCUGGUGUAGCGGUGGAAUGCGCAGAUAUCAGGAGGAACACCGGUGGCGAAGGCGGGUCUCUGGGCAGUAACUGACGCUGAGGAGCGAAAGCGUGGGGAGCGAACAGGAUUAGAUACCCUGGUAGUCCACGCCGUAAACGGUGGGUACUAGGUGUGGGUUUCCUUCCUUGGGAUCCGUGCCGUAGCUAACGCAUUAAGUACCCCGCCUGGGGAGUACGGCCGCAAGGCUAAAACUCAAAGAAAUUGACGGGGGCCCGCACAAGCGGCGGAGCAUGUGGAUUAAUUCGAUGCAACGCGAAGAACCUUACCUGGGUUUGACAUGCACAGGACGCCGGCAGAGAUGUCGGUUCCCUUGUGGCCUGUGUGCAGGUGGUGCAUGGCUGUCGUCAGCUCGUGUCGUGAGAUGUUGGGUUAAGUCCCGCAACGAGCGCAACCCUUGUCUCAUGUUGCCAGCGGGUAAUGCCGGGGACUCGUGAGAGACUGCCGGGGUCAACUCGGAGGAAGGUGGGGAUGACGUCAAGUCAUCAUGCCCCUUAUGUCCAGGGCUUCACACAUGCUACAAUGGCCGGUACAAAGGGCUGCGAUGCCGCGAGGUUAAGCGAAUCCUUUUAAAGCCGGUCUCAGUUCGGAUCGGGGUCUGCAACUCGACCCCGUGAAGUCGGAGUCGCUAG
rnacentral:rRNA from 1 species